AGCCAGGGCUACACAGAGAAACUUCGUCUCGCAAAACCAAAACCAAAACCACCACCAACAACAAAAAACAAAAGUCCAAAAAACCAAAAAACCUACAAAGGCAAAAGAGGUUUGAGAGCCGUGGUUGUUUAGGACAGUUGUGGUUUGUAGCAGGAAAGGACACUCCUGAUGUUGGGAAUUUGCAAGAAGAAUCUGGGCUGAGCUGCUUCAAACAAGGAGGCUUUGCUCUGGAGUGAGGAGGGAGUGACCCCUCAGCCUGUGUAGGGUCCAGUUUUAUGCUCUCGGAAGGCUCAGCAGUGAUUGCUGCCGAGUGGGAAGUAGCUUCUCCCAGCUGUUCCUCACCUCACCAGAUAUUUUCCCAAAGCCGAAACAAGAAAAGUCAGCAUGCCUGGGGCUAGAAGCGGAAUGUAAGAUACGUCUCUAUGCCAAAUGGAGUUGUAGAAUGUACCCUCUCAGCCCAUAAACAGGAGGAAACCAUAUGUGAACACUACAGCCUCUGGCGAGGGCUCUGUGGAGAUUUUAAUUUUAGAAGGGGGCAUGAUGGCAGUGUUUCUCUUUUAGGACAACACCCACGGAACACUCAAAGGCUGUGUGACUUGUCCUGUCCUGUGGCACCGAAGCCCUAGGUAGCUGGCUGUUUUGAUGAGGUCAUUUGAAUCAUGGGAGUGUCCUUACACUACACUAUCCUGAGCUGGUUGGGGUGGGUAGAAGAAGGCAAGGACUGCCUGAGAGGCUGCGUUGACCCUACUGAUGUGGGUCUUGGGAUGGGCUGGAACAGGGUUCCUGCCUGAGUAGGUGGAACUGGCAACCUUGAAGGGUGAUUCCCCCCCACCCCCAGAGGAUCAGCUGCCUGUGGUUGGGACAGGGCACACCACCUUCCCUCAGACGGUCUUGCUAAGUAUAUGACUGGGAGAGUUUGGUCAUUUUUGUGUACCCUAUGGUGGGAAUGUGGGGUUGCCUUUCAAAAGCCUUCAGGAUGGCAACAGAUUGGAUGUGCUAUCUCAGUGCCUGCAGGUCUCUCUGCUCGAGGCAGCAGGGGGCGCUUUGCAGUAUAGUUGAGGAAAAUGACCGCUCCUUGACCAAACUGAGAUGCACUUGGUGUGUGGGAACUGAUUGCUUCCUCCCUGUUUAUAAUUCAGUGAAUAAUCACGGGCCCAAUAUUUUACUAACCCACUCUGUAGGUUGUCAGUGUUCCAUUUUGAAAGUGUCCCCGUGGUUGCACACUUCAGAGGACAGGGACUCUGUGUGUCUAAGAAGGCUGGGAUGAGGGCUCUGUUACAGGGCAGACUGUUCUCUCAUAGUCUUAUCUGUUUGAAUAUUCCUGGGUAUGACUUUAUGUGUGGCAAAAACCCACAUUACCAAAGUAGUUUUUAACUACUGUAAUUUGUAAAUAAGUGUUGUGGCAGGUGGGAACCUUUAAAAGAUCAGUAAGAUGUUUCUCAUAUUUAUGAACUUAGCACUUGAAAACCAACACACUCAGAAAAAGCCACAGAUUGUUAAAAGCCUAAUUGUAGUUCGUAACAAUUUGUCAGUACGUACUAAUUGCCUUAUUCUUCAGCUAGUGGUUUAUAAAGAGGCUGCAUAGAAAGUUUUACACAUGGAAGCAGCUGAUGUAGAGACUUCAUAUAGGCAGCUGCAGUCCUAAAGUCUCAAGCUAGAGGGUGGGGGCCACGGAAGGAAGGCAGCCUUUCAGGUAGCAAGAUUAAAUAUUGCUGUUGCCAAAUAGUAUUUGAAAUAAUACCAGAAAACGGGGACCACAGUACUGUUCGAUGUUUUCAAGUGAGAAAGAGGAAUGUAGUAUGCUUUGGCAUAGUUUGGGAGUGGAGAAUACAGACAUUAUCAGCAGUGACAAAUCACAUAGCUUCAAAAACUCCUCCAGUUUGUGACAACAUGACAGGUGUGACAGCAUGACAGGUUUGCUCUGCUUCUGCAGAGUGGGCCCCAGAGGUCACUUAGGACUGAGAUGCUCCAAAGUUUGAAGUGCCAAAUAACAUGAAACGUGCUCUGUCGACUCAAUAUUAAAGCCAGGGUGAAGAGUUGCAAACCCCUCUGUCCCUGCAGUACUGCCUGAGUGUGUGGUGAUUCUGGGCUCUCCACAACCAGCUCAAAGCAGCUAGCACCCGUGCUCACUGUUGUUGGACGGGCUGGUCCACAGCCUCAGACCCACGCUCUGCCGAGAUACUGGACGGGAGGAAGGAUUUUUCCUAGACUGCGGAUUGGCGUGACAAAGCAAUGGCUGUGUCAGCUGGGCCUUCAUCCAGGAACAGACCAACAUAAACCAGCAUCUUCUACCAGUUAGCACUGUCCUCCUGGACCAUGCUGAGGGUUGGGCCUCUCCCUCAGAGUCCUUUCUCACUGUAGUUCUGUGUGCCUGUUCCCUUCAUGCCUGAGUCAGGAAUACAUGGAGAGACAGCCUACAUCUGACAGACUCCCACAAAACAAACUGCCAGCAAACUUUCUAACUCAUUUUAACCGUUCAAGCGGGGAAUUAAAACAAACUUUUGGACUAUUUUUUUUUAAUUGUUCUUUAUGUUUAAAACUUGCAGAGAUAGAAGCAGGCUUCUGAGGUACGGGGUCUUGCUGUGUGCUCUCUCUCCGUGCUGCCGUUAAGCCAAAACAAAAGCUGUGAACAUAGGUGCUUGAGAGAAUGCGUGUUGACAGGAAAGUGACUGAUUUACAGACCCAAGUCUUUGUCUCAUGAAACUACC
rnacentral:lncRNA from 1 species